rnacentral:rRNA from 1 species
UACCAGCACCCCGAGUGGUCGGGACGAUUAUUGGGCCUAAAGCAUCCGUAGCCGGUCCUACAAGUCUUCCGUUAAAUCCACCUGCUCAACAGAUGGGCUGCGGAAGAUACUAUAGGGCUAGGAGGCGGGAGAGGCAAGCGGUACUCAGUGGGUAGGGGUAAAAUCCUCUGAUCCAUUGAAGACCACCAGUGGCGAAGGCGGCUUGCCAGAACGCGCUCGACGGUGAGGGAUGAAAGCUGGGGGGAGCAA